rnacentral:ncRNA from 1 species
UUAAGCGCGGGCCCUGGUCCUGGCCCUGGUCCUGGCGGCCCUCCACGCGGGAGUGCUGCACACCCGCCUGCACCGUGUGUUAAUGAGUAACUAGUAAAUAGAGUUAAGUCUUGGUCAAGAUGUAAAAAGCUAUGACCAACGUAAAAAUAAACUACGAAAGUGACCCUAAUACGAUCUACUACACGACAGCUAAGACCCAAACUGGGAUUAGAUACCCCACUAUGCUUAGCCUUAAACCUAAGUGAUUAUAAUAACAAAAUCACUCGCCAGAGUACUACUAGCAACAGCUUAAAACUCAAAGGACUUGGCGGUGCUUCAUACCCCCUAGAGGAGCCUGUUCUAUAAUCGAUAAACCCCGAUCAACCUCACCAACCCUUGCUAAUUCAGUCUAUAUACCGCCAUCUCCAUCUCUAUAAACCCCUAUAGGGACCAAAAGUAAGCUUAACUAUUCAAACAUAAAAACGUUAGGUCAAGGUGUAACCAAUGGGAUGGGAAGAAAUGGGCUACAUUUUCUUGUCCUAAGAAAAUCUCAAAAUCCUUACGAAAGCCCCUAUGAAACUGAGGGCCCAAGGAGGAUUUAGUAGUAAAUCAAGAAUAGAGUGCUUGAUUGAACUAGGCCAUGAAGCACGCACACACCGCCCGUCACCCUCUUCAAGUCCAACGAGCCUGCAAGAAAAUAUAAACAAGUGCAAAACGUAUGAGAAGAGACAAGUCGUAACAAGGUAAGCAUACUGGAAAGUGUGCUUGGAUGAGCAAAACG